rnacentral:rRNA from 1 species
GACGAACGCUGGCGGCGUGCUUAACACAUGCAAGUCGAACGGAAAGGCCCUGCUUUUGUGGGGUGCUCGAGUGGCGAACGGGUGAGUAACACGUGAGUAACCUGCCCUUGACUUUGGGAUAACUUCAGGAAACUGGGGCUAAUACCGGAUCGGAGCUCCUGCUGCAUGGUGGGGGUUGGAAAGUUUCGGCGGUUGGGGAUGGACUCGCGGCUUAUCAGCUUGUUGGUGGGGUAGUGGCUUACCAAGGCUUUGACGGGUAGCCGGCCUUAGAGGGUGACCGGCCACAUUGGGACUGAGAUACGGCCCAGACUCCUACGGGAGGCAGCAGUGGGGAAUAUUGCACAAUGGGCGGAAGCCUGAUGCAGCAACGCCGCGUGCGGGAUGACGGCCUUCGGGUUGUAAACCGCUUUCGCCUGUGACGAAGCGUGAGUGACGGUAAUGGGUAAAGAAGCACCGGCUAACUACGUG